UACCAGCUUGCUGGUAUGAUUAGUGGCGAACGGGUGAGUAAUGCUUAGGAAUCUGCCUAUUAGUGGGGGACAACAUUCCGAAAGGAAUGCUAAUACCGCAUACGUCCUAUGGGAGAAAGCAGGGGAUCGCAAGACCUUGCGCUAAUAGAUGAGCCUAAGUCGGAUUAGCUAGUUGGUGGGGUAAAGGCCUACCAAGGCGACGAUCUGUAGCUGGUCUGAGAGGAUGAUCAGCCACACUGGGACUGAGACACGGCCCAGACUCCUACGGGAGGCAGCAGUGGGGAAUAUUGGACAAUGGGCGAAAGCCUGAUCCAGCCAUGCCGCGUGUGUGAAGAAGGCCUUUUGGUUGUAAAGCACUUUAAGUGGGGAGGAAAAGCUAAUAAUUAAUACCUAUUAGCCCUGACGUUACCCACAGAAUAAGCACCGGCUAACUCUGUGCCAGCAGCCGCGGUAAUACAGAGGGUGCAAGCGUUAAUCGGAAUUACUGGGCGUAAAGCGAGCGUAGGUGGUCAUUUAAGUCAGAUGUGAAAUCCCCGGGCUUAACCUGGGAACUGCAUCUGAUACUGGGUGACUAGAGUAGGUGAGAGGGAAGUAGAAUUCCAGGUGUAGCGGUGAAAUGCGUAGAGAUCUGGAGGAAUACCGAUGGCGAAGGCAGCUUCCUGGCAUCAUACUGACACUGAGGUUCGAAAGCGUGGGUAGCAAACAGGAUUAGAUACCCUGGUAGUCCACGCCGUAAACGAUGUCUACCAGUCGUUGGGUCUCUUGAAGACUUAGUGACGCAGUUAACGCGAUAAGUAGACCGCCUGGGGAGUACGGCCGCAAGGUUAAAACUCAAAUGAAUUGACGGGGGCCCGCACAAGCGGUGGAGCAUGUGGUUU
rnacentral:rRNA from 1 species